rnacentral:rRNA from 1 species
GAUUUCUGGCUUGAAACAUUUUGCCGGCCACGGUUUCGUGUGUUAGUGCUUGAUGUUCUGGCCAUCCUUCCAAUCGCCAUCGGCCUUUUCUUCAUUGAACGGGUCGUCUUGGUAUUGGAUCUUUUACUUUGAAAAAAUUAGAGUGUUUCAAGCAGGCUUUAUGCUAUGAAUACAUUAGCAUGGAAUAAUAAUUUAGGACUUCGGUUCUAUUUUGUUGGUUUCUAGGACUGAAGUAAUGAUUGAUAGGGAUAGUUGGGGGUGCUAGUAUUCAGCGGCCAGAGGUGAAAUUCUCGGAUUCGCUGAAGACUAACUUAUGCGAAAGCAUU